GAAUAAUAAUGAAUAAAUGACAUAUUUAUUGAUAACUUUUUACAAAAGACUGAAAUGAUGCUGUGAAUUCCCCCCUCUCAACCAGUAUGUGAGUAAUGCAUUCAAUACAAUUGGAAAUAGCACUUGCCAAUAGAACAGAAAACAACUUGUAACCCACAUAGCUCAGAACCCAAUUUGUUUCAUUAUCAUAUUAAAUGAUUAUAUUGUGCUAGCACAAUAGUCUUAAAAGUUAAAACCACUUCCGAGCAUUAUUAGAUACAAGACAUUCCUUCCAUUUGUGCAAAAUUGGGUUUUGAGCAAAGCUGAGUUGUCGUAUGUGUUCAUCAAAUAAUUCAAAUGUUAUAAGAAAUUAAGAAUGUAGCAUAUCACUAUCGUGACACAGUAUUUUGCUCAAAGUAUUUGCUCACGUUCCUUGACUCUUCAAUUUAAAUGGCAUCCCAUUCCUAAUCUAUAGGUUUUAUUGUGUUGUAGCAACAAUAGUUUUAGCUUUUCGGUGAAGGGUUUCUUUAACCCCUGGGUGUUAUUUGUCCAUUUUUUGGCUUUUUUCGUUUUUUUCUGUGUUUAAAAGGGAAAAAAGCAUAUGAAAAAAUACACUAGGGAGCUGAUAUUUCCUGCAGGAUACUAAAUCAUGUAGAAGUUCGAAAUGGCACCAUCCGGCAAUUUCUAACUUAUUGCAAACAAGCUGGGAAGAUUUGCACUAAACUCUUGUUAUUUUGCCAUUUUUUGGCUCAUUGACUCCCAUUAUAAAUCAUGAUUUUUGAUAUGCUGUAAACCUGAUGUUUUAUAAUGCAUUUUCCGUGAUUAUUGAUGCAAUCGCUUCUUUGGCGAGUCAAAAACAUGCAGAUAAAAAAAAUUUUGUGUUGACACCCAGAAGUCACUAGAUGGAGCCAUAGGCCAAUACAUGAAUUUGCUUGCGAAGCUAGCUUCAGAUCGGUCAAAAAUUAAUGCAAUAAAGACGGUUGGCUUUACCAAAAAAAUGGUGUCAAUGUUGUCUGAGCUCACUUUCAGUCUAUUUGGGCAUGCGUAUUUGCAAUUUUGCACGUUUGCACAAGACAAUAAAAAGGUACUUCCCGGAAAUGCAAAAAAACCAAAACAAAAAACCACGUGUUUAUUGUUGUCGUUUGAAUUUCAACUUUUAUUGGUCGGGUGUUUGAAUUUCUUUACUCUCGUUGGUUCUGGGCAUUUUGGGAGUCUCUGUUCUCGCGAGGAUCACCAUUUUGCAUUUCUUCCAACACAACUGUGAUCGAUGGCGGCGAGAAGUAUUUCACCGCAGGACACGAUUCGAAUGGUGUUAGAAAAUCCUGAUUCCGACGACGACGACCUUUGUUCGGACGCUUCUUUGGAGAGCCCAGAAGACAUUGAACAAAUUCUUCCGGACUUUCGAUGCCGGAGGAGGACGGCUUUGAUGACGAGGAUUAGGAAAUAGUUGACAACAUAACGAGAUGAAAGCGGGGAGCAGAAGGCGGGGGCACGGACAUGACCACGUUCAGGCGCAUGACGAAAAUGACGGCGAUCGAGGCCUGUGGCACAUACUCCUGCCGCCGGCGCGCACUCAGGUGGCCAAUGUGUGAGCUUUUUCACAUGCCGGACAUUUCGUCAUGCAGCGCGUUUGUGCUGUUCACGGAGAUCUACCCUCGUUUGUGCUGUUCACGGAGAUCUACCCUGAGUGGAACGUGAAGAAAAGCUACAAGCGCCGACUAUUUCUUGAGGAACUUGGCAAGGCUCUAAUUCGGCCAGAAGUCCUAAAACGGGAACCACCGCCUUCUGCCGAAGGCUUGGUUGAGCAGCGAGCUGGACCCCCGUCCAAGCGCAAACAAUGUGGCCUUUGCACAAAGCCACUUCGGGCUUCGAACAUAAUAAUAAAUAAUAAUACAUUUUAUUUAUAACGCACUUUACAUUUGAACAACAAAUCUCAAAGUGCACAUCAUGAAUUGUGUAUGUUGUUAUUAUGUUAACUGUUAUAUUGUAUGUAUGUUUUGUAAAAUUGUUAACAUAAAUUCUAUCAUCAAAUCA